CCUUGCUGCCUUGUCAUAUCAAACAUCCGCAUACCAUCUUCACUGAAAUAGAAAAGAGAACGAAGAUGUGAAUCACCGCUUUUUAACAAAGGUAUAUAGAACUCACUUUUGCUUGCAUCAUUUCCAGAUAUGCGAUGAUGAAUAGCAAUUCUACGCCACUUAAUACUUGAUGUCAACUGCAGAGUGGAUGAACGCCUGUUUGUCACAGCGUCCUCUGUAUGCUGCAUAACUCCAAGGAAAUUUUCAUCCCUUGCCUUGGAAAUACACAUAUCACGCACCAAAUCAUGAAUUCUGCAUCUUUUCACACCUAUUCCAGUGUGAUCUCUUUGGCUCACUUGAACCACACACCUACUCACAAGCUCUUCCAAAUAUUCUUCACCCACGUCUUCCAUUGUCUCUUCUCCUCCUAUUGACGACUGCAAUAUAAACCCUUCGGCUAUCCACAUUCGAAUCAACUCCCUUUUCUUAAACUCCCAGUCCUCUGGAAAUUGAGAAAGAUAAAGAAAGCAUGGUUUCAAAUGGAAAGGCAAGUCAUGAUAGCUCAAAGCUAAAAUUCCAUACACUCCUCCGUAUUGAUGAUGUUGUUCCCACUUGACAAAUUGUGCAUUAAUGCUUCCGUGAACCACCUCCCACUCCUUCAAUGACUUCUUUGUUGCCAAUAAACCUCCAAGCACAACAACAGCAAGUGGCAAUCCUCUGCAUUUUUUCACCAUUUCCCUUCCCAAUUUCUCAAGUUCUGGUGUACAGCCAUGCUCCUUCGGGAUCUCUCUCGGGAAUGUUUUCCUUUCGAGAAGUUCCCAACCUUCAUCAUCCGUCAAAAAUGGAGGUUCCACUGGAGAGCCCCAUGGAUCAGCAUGAGAAGCAAGUGUUCUAUUACGGGUGGUGAAUAGAACUUUGCUCCCUUUCUUUCCCUUUAGGAAAGCAGGUUUCAAACGAUCCCACGCCUCAUUUGUCCAAAUAUCAUCAAAAACCACCAAGUAACGCUUCUCCUCUAGCACACUGUGAAGUGCUUCAAUCAACCUUUCCUCUUUUAAACUUUCCAACACAGAUUUAAACUGUACUUCCUCCUUCAUCUUUUCCAACAUGGAUUUAAGAGGUUGUUCAUCCUUCAUUCUCUCCAGUAACUUUGAUUUAUCCUCACCAGAUGCAACAUUUAUCAGGAUUCCAACCAAAACAUCCUUGAUGGAGA
rnacentral:misc_RNA from 1 species